GACGAACGCUGGCGGCGUGCUUAACACAUGCAAGUCGAACGGAAAGGCCCUGCUUUUGUGGGGUGCUCGAGUGGCGAACGGGUGAGUAACACGUGAGUAACCUGCCCUUGACUUUGGGAUAACUUCAGGAAACUGGGGCUAAUACCGGAUAGGAGCUCCUGCUGCAUGGUGGGGGUUGGAGAGUUUCGGCGGUUGGGGAUGGACUCGCGGCUUAUCAGCUUGUUGGUGGGGUAGUGGCUUACCAAGGCUUUGACGGGUAGCCGGCCUGAGAGGGUGACCGGCCACAUUGGGACUGAGAUACGGCCCAGACUCCUACGGGAGGCAGCAGUGGGGAAUAUUGCACAAUGGGCGGAAGCCUGAUGCAGCAACGCCGCGUGCGGGAUGACAGCCUUCGGGUUGUAAACCGCUUUCGCCUGUGACGAAGCGUGAGUGACGGUAAUGGGUAAAGAAGCACCGGCUAACUACGUG
rnacentral:rRNA from 1 species